rnacentral:rRNA from 1 species
CACCUACGGGGCGCAGCAGUGGGGAAUAUUGCACAAUGGGGGGAACCCUGAUGCAGCGACGCCGCGUGGGUGAGGAAGUACUUCGGUAUGUAAAGCCCUAUCAGCAGGGAAGAAAAUGACGGUACCUGACUAAGAAGCCCCGGCUAACUACGUGCCAGCAGCCGCGGUAAUACGUAGGGGGCAAGCGUUAUCCGGAUUUACUGGGUGUAAAGGGAGCGUAGACGGCAAGGCAAGCCAGAAGUGAAAGGGCAGGGCUC